GACGAACGCUGGCGGCGUGCCUAAUACAUGCAAGUAGAACGCACAGUUUAUACCGUAGCUUGCUACACCAUAGACUGUGAGUUGCGAACGGGUGAGUAACGCGUAGGUAACCUGCCUGGUAGCGGGGGAUAACUAUUGGAAACGAUAGCUAAUACCGCAUAAUAUUAAUUAUUGCAUGAUAAUUAAUUGAAAGGUGCAAUUGCACCACUACCAGAUGGACCUGCGUUGUAUUAGCUAGUAGGUGAGGUAACGGCUCACCUAGGCGACGAUACAUAGCCGACCUGAGAGGGUGAUCGGCCACACUGGGACUGAGACACGGCCCAGACUCCUACGGGAGGCAGCAGUAGGGAAUCUUCGGCAAUGGACGAAAGUCUGACCGAGCAACGCCGCGUGAGUGAAGAAGGUUUUCGGAUCGUAAAGCUCUGUUGUAAGAGAAGAACGGGUGUGAGAGUGGAAAGUUCACACUGUGACGGUAUCUUACCAGAAAGGGACGGGUAACUACGUG
rnacentral:rRNA from 1 species